CAACCAAGGGAAUUGCGCCGAGCUUACUGAUGCAAACGCCCUUCCAAAGUAAUCCGCAAAUCGGAUUAGCUGUAUAUCCUGCUGCGUCUCAUAUGAUGAGGUUAUAUCAACAAGAAACGCGCCAAGUUCACCAGCAUCGAUCAUCGCAGCCGCCUCCGCCACCGUCACCUUUGGCUUCUUUGGUUUCUUUGCCUUCACCUUCUUAGUCUCCCCGUUGGCACCUCCGCCAGGAGCUUUGGCAUCGCUGUCUCUGUCGUCAUUGGAAUGCUCCUUCGAUCCGUUCCCUGAGACGGAAUAUUCACCAACAGCGGCGGAGGCUCGCUGCGCCUCGAGUAUUUUCUGUCGGCGAUCCUCAGAAUAUUGCUCAAUGGAGCGGAACACAUCCGGACUAGUGGCGGUGAUACCAUUGCAAUGAGAGCCGGAGGAAUUCUCCGGCGGUGGGAGUUUCGAAUGCUUCCUGCUUCGCUUGUGAUAGGAUACCGUUUGCCAUUCGCCGUCGUUUUGCUUUGUAUAGUCAUCAUGGAUGUACAUUUGUUCUUCUUCUGUGAGAAAACGAUCCGCAUGAGCUGCGUUCUCAUCCAUGACUCGUAGAAACGGCAGUUUUUCUCCAAAAACGACAGAGAGAAACUGUGAUAUGUUUACACGUCG
rnacentral:misc_RNA from 1 species